rnacentral:rRNA from 1 species
CCGGCACGGGUGAGUAACACGUAUGCAACUUGCCUAUCAGGAGGGGAUAACCCGGCGAAAGUCGGACUAAUACCGCAUGAAGCAGGGGCCCCGCAUGGGGAUAUUUGCUAAAGAUUCAUCGCUGAUAGAUAGGCAUGCGUUCCAUUAGGCAGUUGGCGGGGUAACGGCCCACCAAACCGACGAUGGAUAGGGGUUCUGAGAGGAAGGUCCCCCACAUUGGUACUGAGACACGGACCAA